rnacentral:rRNA from 1 species
ACGUAGGGGGCAAGCGUUGUCCGGAAUCAUUGGGCGUAAAGCGCGUGUAGGCGGCUCGAUAAGUCUGCUGUGAAAUCUGCGGGCUCAACCCGGAGGGGACGGCCGAGACUGCUGAUCUUGAGGGGAGCAGAGGAGUCUGGAAUUCCCGGUGUAGCGGUGAAAUGUGUAGAGAUCGGGAGGAACACCGGUGGCGAAGGCGGGGCUCUGGGCUCGACCUGACGCUGAGGCGCGAAAGCGUGGGGAGCAAACGGGA